rnacentral:rRNA from 1 species
UACGUAGGUGGCAAGCGUUGUCCGGAAUUAUUGGGCGUAAAGCGCGCGCAGGCGGUCCUUUAAGUCUGAUGUGAAAGCCCACGGCUCAACCGUGGAGGGUCAUUGGAAACUGGGGGACUUGAGUACAGAAGAGAAGAGUGGAAUUCCACGUGUAGCGGUGAAAUGCGUAGAUAUUGGGAGGAACACCAGUGGCGAAGGCGGCUCACUGGACCGGUACUGACGCUGAGGCGCGAAAGCGUGGGGAGCAAACAGG